CCACAGAGUAUUGUACCCAGAGCCUGACCCCAUAUAUUGCACCUGGCACUGUUAAGCUGGAAUUAAAAUGUUUC
rfam:Fukomys damarensis contig110420, whole genome shotgun sequence.